AGAUACCCUGGUAGUCCACGCUGUAAACGAUGUCGAUUUGGAGGUUGUGCCCUUGAGGCGUGGCUUCCGGAGCUAACGCGUUAAAUCGACCGCCUGGGGAGUACGGCCGCAAGGUUAAAACUCAAAUGAAUUGACGGGGGCCCGCACAAGCGGUGGAGCAUGUGGUUUAAUUCGAUGCAACGCGAAGAACCUUACCUACUCUUGACAUCCAGAGAACUUAGCAGAGAUGCUUUGGUGCCUUCGGGAACUCUGAGACAGGUGCUGCAUGGCUGUCGUCAGCUCGUGUUGUGAAAUGUUGGGUUAAGUCCCGCAACGAGCGCAACCCUUAUCCUUUGUUGCCAGCGGUUCGGCCGGGAACUCAAAGGAGACUGCCAGUGAUAAACUGGAGGAAGGUGGGGAUGACGUCAAGUCAUCAUGGCCCUUACGAGUAGGGCUACACACGUGCUACAAUGGCAUAUACAAAGAGAAGCGACCUCGCGAGAGCAAGCGGACCUCAUAAAGUAUGUCGUAGUCCGGAUUGGAGUCUGCAACUCGACUCCAUGAAGUCGGAAUCGCUAGUAAUCGUAGAUCAGAAUGCUACGGUGAAUACGUUCCCGGGCCUUGUACACACCGCCCGUCACACCAUGGGAGUGGGUUGCAAAAGAAGUAGGUAGCUUAACCUUCGGGAGGGCGCUUACCACUUUGUGAUUCAUGACUGGGGUG
rnacentral:rRNA from 1 species